AGGUCAGGAUUGAACCCAUGUCUCUGGUGCUGUGAGGCAGCAGCUCUACCCGCUGCACCACUGUGCCACCCAACAUGGCCCUGGUAUUUAGAAGCUUAUUAAAAUGAUGCCGACCCAUACUGCUUAUAACAGGCCAGGUCUGACACAGUUUCCACAGAGACAACAAAUAACAGAAGUACUCCUUUAAUAGUUGGUUUAAACAGAGAGUAGCGCACAGAAAAUGUCCACUCAGCCCCUCUCUUGCAUGCUGGUGUUUAAGCCUCACAUUGAGUCCCAUCCCACCCCUCCAUCUCUUUCCCAUCACCAUCAUCAGCUCAGUCAGCUCCCAUUAAAUUCAUACGUAAGAUUUAAAGGGGAACUGGGAGAGCAACCUUUUCAUACGGAGGCACAGGUACUAGUAGACGAGGUACAAUUAGGACAUUUAAAAGACUUUUGGAUGUGUGCAUGGAGGGAUAUGGGCCAUAUGGGACUAGCUCAGAAAGACAACUUGCCUGGCAUGAACAAGUUUGGCCGAAGGGUUUCCUGAAAUGCCACCUAACCUUUUUCUCCAGAGAUGUUGUCUGACCCAUUGAAUUACUCCAGCACUUUGUGUCUGUCUAUGGCCGAAGGGCCUAAUUCCAUGCUGUGUAGUUCUAUGACUCUAUAUAUUCACUCUGUUUAUUGUGAGUUUAAUUUCUCUGUGGGAAGAAAGGUUUUUUUUUCUGAACUCCCUCUGCGUUUCCCAGUAACUAAUUCUACAUCGAGUCUUAAUCUUCCCAGUAGAAACACUGGUGACGUCUAUCCAGUUUUAGGUGGGCAUCAGUCUUCCCUGCAGGAAAUAAACCAGCUUCUUGGAUUUGGGAUCAAGUUUGCAGGUCCUCCUCACCCUUUCAGAAACAUGUACAUAAGCAAAACCAAGGCUGAUGCCAGCAAAAGGAAAUGGAAUCCACACAGUAUUGGACAUCCUUCACCCUUGCCUCAUCUCCUCCCCUGUAAAAACAUCUCAAGACAUCACGGGAUGUGACCAGGAGACUUGGCAAGGCACUAAGUUACCCGCUUAAGAGCCAUGACCUACGUUCUCUGCCUGUAACAGAGGUCGUAGGGUGGAGUGAAGAGGGCAAAGUUCGAAGAGGCAACACAACACCCUUGAGGGCCAAAGGAAUCUACGAUGCACCCACGUCAAUCACCAUCAUUACUGGAUGAGAAUCGAAAGAAAACAGAAACAACUGGUUUCCCCGGCAAUAUACUUCGUUUUUAUCAGGGAGAGAAAAAAAAUGUACAUUUAAAUUUUAAAACGAAAAUAGCCCACCUUCUGUGAAUUGUGGUGAUCUUCCCCUUAAAAGGUUUUUUUUUUUAACGGCA